rnacentral:snoRNA from 1 species
AAGGCUAUACUUUCAGGGAUCAUUUCUAUAGUUCGUUACGAAAUUAGGUAUUCGCCAAGUAUUAAUUAAGCACUUGUUAAGGUGGCAAAGGCUGUACCAAGU